AACGAAUGCUGGCGGCGCGUCUUAAGCAUGCAAGUCGGACGGCAAGAUUGGUGCUUGCACCGAUCCUAGAGUGGCGGACUGGUGAGUAACGCGUGGGUGACGUACCCUAAGGAUGGGGAUAGCUGGUAGAAAUAUCAGAUAAUACCGAAUAUCCUUAUUGUUGUUAGAGGACAGUAAGGAAAGGAGCUUUGGCUUCGCCUAAGGAUCGGCCCGCGUACUAUUAGCUAGUUGGUGAGGUAACGGCUCACCAAGGCGACGAUAGUUAUCCGGCCUAAGAGGGUGAACGGACACAUUGGGACUGAGAUACGGCCCAGACUCCUACGGGAGGCAGCAGCUAAGAAUAUUCCGCAAUGGAGGAAACUCUGACGGAGCGACGCCGCGUGGAUGAUGAAGGCCGGAAGGUUGUAAAAUCCUUUUAAGCAAGAAGAAUAAACUUUACAGGGAAUGGUAGAGUGGUGACGGUAUUGCUUGAAUAAGCAACGGCUAAUUACGUGCCAGCCGCCGCCGUAAGAC
rnacentral:rRNA from 1 species